GUUAGAUGAUUAUCUUAGCUCGUAUGUCACAAAGCCUCGGGCUACUAACACGAUUAGUGUAAGUGCUAUUUACAUGUGUCACACAGAAAGUCUCUUGGACGUGGACUCGUUUCUCCUGCGAUCGCCAAUAUAUCUCUUACGUUGAACAACCUGCAGCAUGUUUUCAGAAGGCGUACAAGACACGGUGAUUGCAGCAUUUGAACCUGUGUAUGAGUACCUUCUGAACUCUUGUCUGAGCAGAUUCGUGAAAUGUUUUGUUUGUCAUCAUCAUUCGGUGGGGGAAGUCUGGCUACUUUGACAGCCAAGCGGCUCGUAAAGUUCCAUGCCUCUGCAACGAUCCAGUCUUCAUGUUGAAGCUCUCUGUUCUGCUCUAUUGCCUUUGCAGCGUUUUCCACAUACCUAAAAGUUUGACUACAUGACAAGCAGACACCCAUAUGGUUAAGAGUAGUAAUGACUUGUUUACUAGUUGCCCUGGCAGCCAGCAUCAAACUAACUAGAAGCUGAAAACCUUUGACCUUGUCACUUGUUUUCUUCGCUAGUAAGCAGACUGCUGCCAAGCUGUAGAUAUCUUUUGGUCCUGUAGUGGUGUCAGUUUGGCCUAUCGAGGAACGCAGUGAUGUAAU